AGCUCGGUUUCGGUUUGCGAGCUGAACUUGUUGCUCCUUUAGCUUUUUUAGCUCAGCAAGUUGCCUACUCUUCAUCUGAAAUAUUUUGAAAAGUUUGCCUUUUGUCCUUGGUCUUUCACUCUGAAAUCAACAAUGUGGAGCAAAUUGGGGAAGACCAUCCUUCACGGAAGCACCAUCACCCAUGUGGCCAACGCCUCCGGUGCUCCCAUCCGGUUGUACUACAGCACGGAUAACAUGAGGCUGACUGAAGCGGUGGUGACGCUUUCAAACAGGGGGGAUGGCAGUGCUAAGUUGAAGUUUGAACCCGAUUCCCGUGUCGGCUAUGAAUGGAUUCCUAAAGACAAUUUCGCAAAACUUGACAUGGUUGGGCCAAUUUACGUCAGCGUCUAUGUGGAGAACGACAGCUCCAGGGAUGAAUAUGUGAAGAAAAUAGUUGAAAAUAAAGAAAUCCAAACCAACAGGUCCUUUAUUGUGACCAGAGACUACAACUUUAAGUGGCAGAAAUACGGGGCAAACAUUUGGGUGGAUGAGCAGGGCAACAAUCACAGGCCGCGCUGAAAAGAAAAGAGUGCAGUCAGUGUUCAGCGUUCUUUUGAGCGCACACACUGAAUGGACUGGUGGAUGCACAUGAGGUCAGAGAGUCUGGUGCUGAGUGGAGAUACGGUGAACUCAGAGACUUCACAAAUCAUUGUAGACAAUGGCGUGUCGAUUUAUAUAUUUUAUAAUAUCUUUGUUUUUAUUAAGGAUUUUGAACUUAAAAUCAAGUGAACAAUCACCAAGUCCUCCGACUAUAAACACACAUUUAAAAUGUAUAAACUCAUUUAAUCUAUGUAAAAACGAGUUUAAAAUGUAUAAACUCAUAGAAUCUAUGUUAACCCUGUUGUGCUACAGUGCCCUCCUAAUAUACAUACCGGUAUUAAGCAAAUAAAGAUACUGGCAGGUGAAAUACA